GCCCUCCUCCAGGGGACCUUCCUGAUCCAGGGGUCAAACCCGCGUCUCUUAUGUGUCCUGUGUUGGCAGGUGGGUUCUUUACCACUAGCACCACCUGGGAAGCCCCAAGGAGAAUUGUCUGAAACAGUGACAUAAUUAGACGCGAUGGGGCCUGUGGCCAGUUGAAUGCUCUGACACCUUGUUUCAGUACCUUCAAAUUUAAAAUAAAAUGAAGGAAACAAGCCGACCCCUCACUGACCUGGCCAGACAUCACACAUCUUCUUCCUCUGUGGGAUUCCUGGUAUAGCGAGUCAGUAAGAGAGUGUGAACCCUGGGUGACUGGUUCUAGCGCCACCAUGGAGAAGUUUCAUAACCUCUCUGUUUUAUUUUUUCAUUUGUAAAAAUGCAGAUAAUGUACACCUUGCCUGCUCCAAGGGCUGUUGUGAGAGGCUGAAAUGAAAUAACAUGUGGAAAUGACCUGAAAACGAUUGUUGUUUACAUCGUUGUUGUUUAGUUGCUAAGUUGUGGCCAUCUCUCUGUGACACGAUGGACUGUAUGUAGCCUGCCAGCCUCCUCUGUCUGUGGGAUUCUCCAUGCAGUAAUACUGGAGUGGGUUGCCAAGGGGUCUUCCUGAUCCAGCGGUUGAACCCGUGUUCCCUUCAUCGGCAGGUGGAUUCUUUACCACUGAGCCACCUGCGAUUAAGGCUACAUAAAUGUGAGGACAAUUGUUUUUUUCUGCUUCUGUAAAUCUUAGCAUUUCAACAGAGAUACUCUUCUUGUUAAGAAGAUUCCAUAGCCACACAUUGGAAAACUCCAAAAGGCCAGCUAGUAAAGUCCCCUUUCAAUAGUAUAAGCUUGGUAACAGAUGCAAAGCCUGUUUGAUGUAUUUGCUGGAUUUGAAUGGUUACCUGCAUUUUCCUCUUGACAUUGCAGUAAAAAGAACUAUGAUCUUGUUUUUCUCACCAUUACUUUCUCUUAGAUAUGUGAACACUUUCGACAGUACCAGCAAUAUGGCUCAUAAUUCUCAUAAACCAGAGAUAGAAUCUUGUCAUGGUUAACACAGGUGUCAUUUGGUAUCGAUGGGAGGUUGAUUCCAGGACCCCUGAGGAUGCCAAAAUCCACCAAUGCUCAAAUCCCUUCUACAAAAUGGCAUAGCAGGUCGGCCUCCACAUCCGCAAGUUCCAUAUCCAAGGAUCCCCGGUUGGCUGAAUGCUGCUUCUGCGGAACCUGUGGAUACCGAGGGCCACCUGUGUCUUCCGGGCCUUCCCCAAACUGGUUUUAGAGUAACACUGAUAGUUUUGUGUGUUAGUUGCUGUAUCUAUUGGUCAUAAAGUAAUUGAUAUGCUCUGUGCUAAUAAAUGUGCAUAAAGAAGUGUGCUAUGGACCAGCAGUGAAAACACAAGCUUUUAUAAACUAUCCUUUGUUGAAAAUAAUUUUAUGUCCUCAAGAAAGUGAGUUAUCUUGAUGACAUUUUAAAUAUUACUAAAGAUACAUGAUAUUUUAUCGACACAAAUCUUUCAUAAUAAAUUAAUGUGUCUAACCAUUG